rnacentral:rRNA from 1 species
UGCGAGCGGUAAGGCCCCUUCGGGGGUACACGAGCGGCAACGGGUGAGUAACACGUGGGUGAUCUGCCCUGCACUCUGGGAUAAGCCUGGGAAACUGGGUCUAAUACCGGAUAUGAGCUCCUGUCGCAUGGCGGGGGUUGGAAAGGUUUACUGGUGCAGAUGGGCCCGCGGCCUAUCACUUGUUGGUGGGGUAAUGGCCUACCAAGGCACGGGACGGCCUGAAGGGCGACCGGCCACACUGCUGACACCAACUCCUUCGAGGCCGUGGAACCUAGCUCCGGUGACUUAUUCGCAUCACGCUCGAUCCC